rnacentral:rRNA from 1 species
ACGAACGCUGGCGGCGUGGAUAAGACAUGCAAGUCGAACGAGAGAAUUGCUAGCUUGCUAAUAAUUCUCUAGUGGCGCACGGGUGAGUAACACGUGAGUAACCUGCCCCCGAGAGCGGGAUAGCCCUGGGAAACUGGGAUUAAUACCGCAUAGUAUCGAAAGAUUAAAGCAGCAAUGCGCUUGGGGAUGGGCUCGCGGCCUAUUAGUUAGUUGGUGAGGUAACGGCUCACCAAGGCGAUGACGGGUAGCCGGUCUGAGAGGAUGUCCGGCCACACUGGAACUGAGACACGGUCCAGACACCUACGGGUGGCAGCAGUCGAGAAUCAUUCACAAUGGGGGAAACCCUGAUGGUGCGACGCCGCGUGGGGGAAUGAAGGUCUUCGGAUUGUAAACCCCUGUCAUGUGGGAGCAAAUUAAAAAGAUAGUACCACAAGAGGAAGAGACGGCUAACUCUGUGCCAGCAGCCGCGGUAAUACAGAGGUCUCAAGCGUUGUUCGGAAUCACUGGGCGUAAAGCGUGCGUAGGCUGUUUCGUAAGUCGUGUGUGAAAGGCGCGGGCUCAACCCGCGGACGGCACAUGAUACUGCGAGACUAGAGUAAUGGAGGGGGAACCGGAAUUCUCGGUGUAGCAGUGAAAUGCGUAGAUAUCGAGAGGAACACUCGUGGCGAAGGCGGGUUCCUGGACAUUAACUGACGCUGAGGCACGAAGGCCAGGGGAGCGAAAGGGAUUAGAUACCCCUGUAGUCCUGGCAGUAAACGGUGCACGCUUGGUGUGCGGGGAAUCGACCCCCUGCGUGCCGGAGCUAACGCGUUAAGCGUGCCGCCUGGGGAGUACGGUCGCAAGAUUAAAACUCAAAGAAAUUGACGGGGACCCGCACAAGCGGUGGAGUAUGUGGCUUAAUUCGAUGCAACGCGAAGAACCUUACCUGGGCUUGACAUGUAAUGAACAACAUGUGAAAGCAUGCGACUCUUCGGAGGCGUUACACAGGUGCUGCAUGGCCGUCGUCAGCUCGUGUCGUGAGAUGUUUGGUUAAGUCCAGCAACGAGCGCAACCCCUGUUGCCAGUUACCAGCACGUGAAGGUGGGGACUCUGGCGAGACUGCCCAGAUCAACUGGGAGGAAGGUGGGGACGACGUCAGGUCAGUAUGGCCCUUAUGCCCAGGGCUGCACACGUACUACAAUGCCCAGUACAGAGGGGGCCGAAGCCGCGAGGCGGAGGAAAUCCUAAAAACUGGGCCCAGUUCGGACUGUAGGCUGCAACCCGCCUACACGAAGCCGGAAUCGCUAGUAAUGGCGCAUCAGCUACGGCGCCGUGAAUACGUUCCCGGGUCUUGUACACACCGCCCGUCACACCAUGGGAGUUGGAAAUGCCCGAAGUCAGUGACCCAACCGCAAGGAGGGAGCUGCCGAAGGCAGGUUCGAUAACUGGGGUG